rnacentral:tRNA from 1 species
GGAUGUAGCCAAGUGGUAAGGCAACAGACUUUGACUCUGUCAUGCGCUGGUUCGAGUCCAGCCAUC